AACGUAGGAGGCAAGCGUUAUCCGGAGUUACUGGGCGUAAAGCGCACGUAGGCGGAUUGUUAAGUCGGGGGUGAAAUCCUGGAGCUCAACUCCAGAAUUGCCUUCGAUACUGGCUUUCUAGAGGCUGGAAGAGGUUAGUGGAAUUCCCAGUGUAGAGGUGAAAUUCGUAGAUAUCAGGAGGAACACCUGUGGCGAAGGCGGCCAUCUGGACGGUGACUGACGCUGAGACGCGAAAGCGUGGGGAGCAAACAGG
rnacentral:rRNA from 1 species